rnacentral:rRNA from 1 species
UCCUACGGGAGGCAGCAGUGGGGAAUAUUGGACAAUGGGCCACAAGCCUGAUCCAGCAAUUCUGUGUGCACGAUGAAGGUCUUCGGAUCGUAAAGUGCUUUCAGUUGGGAGGAAGAAAGUGACGGUACCAACAGAAGAAGCGACGGCUAAAUACGUGCCAGCAGCCGCGGUAAU